AAAUUAAAUUAUGUGGGAAUGUCCGUUCUACAUGUACUGUUGGUACAUGGAAUAUUCCUCAACUGCAUAUAUCAUUAAUUGCUAUUGCAAAUAGAAGUAUUAUGUUCAACAACUGACAUUUUCAGAUAUUAUUUUGACAAACACACUCUGGUGCUUACAAUUCAUUCUCUAUUGUCAUAGAUUUAGUGGGCACUGUCAUCUGUGAUCUUUGUGAUAUGACUUUCUUUAAGCACGUACUGAUGAAACUGUCACUUAAUAUUUUUUUCUUGAAGUCUUCAAACGCUCGACAUUUAUUCACUCUGUGAUAGUGUUGGAUCCUAUAUGCUACUUUUAUUAUUGUCCUGUGAAUGGUUCAGUGCCUACAAUUUAGGCUGUGUGUAGAAUGGGGCAUAAAGGAAAUUACCUCUACUACUAAAUUACUACUAGAUUAUAGUGAUAAGGAAAACAGCAUUCAAAUUUGGCUUGUGUAUUAAUUUGCCUGUAACUAAAUCAGAAUUCCAUUAUGUUUACAUAAAAAAGAGAAUACUUCAAAAUGAGAAGAUCCUGCCAUGGAAAAGACGACUGGGUGGAAAGUGGAAAGGAGGGGAAAUAACUCCCACCAUGCAGCAGGACACCUUCAGCUGUGGGGUCUUUGUAAUGCAGCUGGUCAAGGAAGUUGCACAGAACUUCCCCAACAUCCCCUCCCAAAUUGAUAUGGAACCUUCAAAAACACAUGGAGCAACUACGAAAAUAAAUGGCUGAGGAUAUACUAAAAAUGUCUGAGUUCAACAAAGCCAACAACUGCUUCAUGUGUGCCACUGAUAAAGAACCUGGAUGUGGCCCAAAGACUGGCUGGAUUGCAUGUUUUGCAUUCCAACGGUGGUUCCAUGUGAUGUCACUAGGAAUGAAGACAAAAUAGUUCAGAGUAAAGAACACAAACUGGAAGUGCAGUCUUUGUUGUUGGAAAUGUAUGCUUAUACCCCAUCCACACUGAAGAGGCUCUGACAUGUACAUCAAACAGGAAUAAAGAGAAAGUUAACUUCAAAUAAGUAUGAAACAUUUCAGUGUUACGUGUCUGUUGACAUGUUGGAAAAGAUUAAAGGUCUACAAUUUCUGUUUAAUUUGUCAAUAUUACAUUUGUAUUCAUUGAUUUACUGGCCACCAUUACUGUGGUUACAUGUUCAGUAUAUGUAUUGACCAGCAAGCCCACUGCAGCCUACCUCACCAGCUCACUCUCCAUCCCUGCUUUGGACAAAUAAUAGCAUGACUCUCGUACUUAUCCCUUUUCCUUUAUGGUUGAUAUUAACAAAAGGAGAUAUUAUCUGUCUCUCUCCUAUUGUGUGCCGUUGUUAAAUACUGUGGAAAAAUAAGUACUUAGAACCACCAAUUAUUAUAGAUAAAUAUUAAAGGGUAAACACAACACUGGACUGAACCCCCUAAUUGUCAAACUAAUAUUAAUGUACAACAAUAUAGAAGAGGCAUGACUAGAGGUUAUGCAAUAUGGGUGUAUAUCUACUGCACGCUUCUUAGGUGUGUAAUUGACAUGACCAAGGAUCUAUUGAAAUGUAAAACUAUGAAAAAUGUACGUUACACUGUGUGAUUUUACAGUACACAAACAAGAGUGUGCAAUAUAGAAGGGUACAUUCUGCACCAUGUUUGAAGUCAGAAGGUCACAUGAUCAAGGAGCUAUUGAAAUUGUAUAUUUAGAAAAAUGUAUGUAAAAACAUGUGAGAUGAAAAUGGACAAACUAAAGGGUGUGCAAAGUGUAGGCCCACUGACAUUCUGAACCCUGUUUGAGUUCAGUAGGUCAUAUGACCAGCUAUUGAAAUAAAAAAAAUUAAAUAAAUAAGUUAAUAGUGCGAGAUGUAAAUCGACAAAAAAUAAAUAUGUGCGAUGUGUCUAUGCCAUCGGGUUAGCUAGAACCAGUUUUGAAAGUUAUAGGAGUAAUGGUUAAAUAGCUAUUGAAAUGUGAAAAAAUUGAUUUGUCACUAUGUUGACGGUCCCUAACUGCUGUUGGUGGACGUAAGGAAGACUACAGGCAAAUAUCCAACCUGAAACUGU
rnacentral:lncRNA from 13 species